rnacentral:misc_RNA from 1 species
UCAUUAAAGCGCCGCCGACGACCGCUCGGGCGCAUCCGGCUUGGAAUACAGCCGGGUGCGUUCCUCGAGCGGCCGGCAGUUGCCCAUUCUUGUCUACUGACCCAGUUGCCUCGGCGGGCCGCUCCGCACUCGUGGACGGCCGGACACCCCUGGUCUGCGCCCGCCGGCGGACAUUUAUAAAACCAAUAUUCUUAGGUUGUCUGAGCGUAUAAAGCAAAUCAGUUAAAACUUUCAACAACGGAUCUCUUGGUUCCGGCAUCGAUGAAGAACGCAGCGAAAUGCGAUAAGUAAUGUGAAUUGCAGAAUUCCGUGAAUCAUCGAAUCUUUGAACGCACAUUGCGCCCUCUGGUAUUCCGGGGGGCAUGCCUGUUCGAGCGUCAUUGCAACCCUCAAGCUCGGCUUGUGUGAUGGGCGGCCGUCCAGCCUCCGGGCGAGGACGCGCCCGAAAUGCAGUGGCCAGGCCGCGACUCCGGCGCCUGAGCGAAUGGGAUUUCCAACGCUUCUAGGACCGGCCGGCUCCUGGCCUUCUAACCAGGACGGACUCCCUCCCUCUGGGGCGGGGGUGCGUCUCCUUCUUAAGGUUGACCUCGGAUCAGGUAGGGAUACCCGCUGAACUUAAGCAUAUCA